GCUACCGCAGUCUCUGGAGUGUACAAGUGGUCUUGCCGACAUGCUGAGUCAACCCAAGCUUUGCUCAUAGGUUGGGGGGAGGGGGGUGUACAACAACAGCCUUGCCAACGUGCUGAGCCGACCAAAGCUAUGCUCAAAGGUUGAAGGCUCAAACAGAUCCUGGGCCCCUGCCGGGUCAGACUCCUCCAACUUUCAACUUUUCACACUUAAAGUGCACCAGCAAAUCCCAGAUUCCCAACAUCUUACAUGAUGUCCAGAUGUAGAAGUCGCUUCCAGCAAAAACAGUCCACUCAAGUAUUUCAUCAAGCCCACGGUCUCUUUGAGCCGUCCUCAGGACACUCCUGGAAAGCUGGUCUCUGAAGCAUCUGUACCGGCAGCUCUCUAUCCUGGGGUCUCCACGUGGAAGUUGCUCUCCUCAUGGAACCGCUCAGUCAGCUGUGGGAAAGCGCAUCGUCUACCAGCCCUCCGCCCUCUUCUUGCUCUGGCUCACCUCACUGCUCUCAGCAUCCCUGCUGUCCCAAACACUUGCGGUCAUUUGUUGAUAUUACUUUUCCCCCCCACUAUCAAGAAGUCUCCAUAAGAGGAGCUAGUUUUGGCUUUUUACGUUACCCUUCUGUUCGCAGCACCGGAAGAAGACUGGGAAGGUUCUAGGCAUUCGCUAAAGUUUUAUCAAAUGUUUAGUGCAACCAACAAGAGCAGCCACAGCUUCU